rnacentral:ncRNA from 1 species
UAUAGGUUUGGUCCUGGCCUUUCUAUUAAUUGUUAGUAAAUAUACACAUGCAAGAAUCCUCACCCCAGUGAAAAUGCCCUCUAAAUCAAUUUAUGACAAAAAGGAGCUGGUAUCAAGCACACUACUCAGUAGCUCCUACACCUUGCUCAGCCACACCCCCACGGGAAACAGCAGUGAUAAAUAUUAAGCAAUAAACGAAAGCUUGACUAAGUUAUACUAAUUAGGGCCUGGUAAACUUCGUGCCAGCCACCGCGGUCAUACGAUCAGGCCAAAUUAAUGGACAUACGGCGUAAAGAGUGUUAAAAAGUAAAAAACAAUAAAGCUAAGCCUUAACUAAACUGUAAAAAGUCCUAGUUAUUGUAAAAUACACGACGAAAGUAGCUCUAAAAACUUUGAUCACACUAUAGCUAGAACCCAAACUGGGAUUAGAUACCCCACUAUGCCUAGCCCUAAACAUAAGUUAUUAGUAACAAAAUUACCCGCCAGAGAACUACUAGCAACAGCUAAAAACUCAAAGGACUUGGCGGUGCCUCACAUCCCUCUAGAGGAGCCUGUUCUAUAAUCGAUAAACCCCGCUAUACCCGACCAACUCUUGCCAAAACAGCCUAUAUACCGCCAUCCUCAGCAAACCCUAAAAAGGAUACAUAGUAAGCAUAAACAUUAGCAUAAAAAAGUUAGGUCAAGGUGUAGCCUAUGAGUUGGAGAGAAAUGGGCUACAUUUUCCCAUUUAGGGAAAAUCUACGAAAGUUUUUGUGAAAAUCAUAAACUAAAGGUGGAUUUAGUAGUAAACUAAGAAUAGAGUGCUUAAUUGAAUUUCGGCCAUGAGGCACGCACACACCGCCCGUCACCCUCCUCAAGUAAAAAUGAUCAAAUAAUUAAUUAAUUAUAAAUAUUAACCUUACAAGAGGAGAUAAGUCGUAACAAGGUAAGUGUACUGGAAAGUGCACUUGGAAAAUA